UGGGGAAUCUUAGACAAUGGGGGAAACCCUGAUCUAGCCAUGCCGCGUGAGCGAUGAAGGCCUUAGGGUUGUAAAGCUCUUUUCAGCUGGGAAGAUAAUGACGGUACCAGCAGAAGAAGCCCCGGCUAACUCCGUGCCAGCAGCCGCGGUAAUACGGAGGGGGCUAGCGUUGUUCGGAAUUACUGGGCGUAAAGCGCACGUAGGCGGAUUAGUCAGUCAGAGGUGAAAUCCCAGGGCUCAACCCUGGAACUGCCUUUGAUACUGCUAGUCUUGAGGUCGAGAGAGGUGAGUGGAAUUUCCCGAGUGUAGAGGUGAAAUUCGUAGAUAUUCGGAGGAACACCAGUGGCGAAGGCGGCUCACUGGCUCGAUACUGACGCUGAGGUGCGAAAGCGUGGGGGAGCAAAACAGGAUUAGAUACCCUGGUAGUCCACGCCGUAAGCGAUGAAUGCCAGUCGUC
rnacentral:rRNA from 1 species